CCUACGGGAGGCAGCAGUGGGGAAUAUUCCACAAUGGGGGAAACCCUGAUGCAGCGACGCCGCGUGCGCGAAGAAGUAUUUCGGAUUGUAAAGCUCUAUCAGCAGGGAAGAACAUGACGAUAACUGACUAAGAAGCUCCGGCUAAAUACGUGCCAGCAGCCGCGGUAAUACGUAUGGAGCACGCGCUCUCCGGUUUUACUGGGUGAAAAGGGAGCGUAGGCGGUAAGGCAAGUAUGAUGUGAAGGGCCAGGGCUCAAACCUGGGACUGCAUUGGAAACUGGUUAACUGGAGUGUCGGAGAGGCAAGUGGAAUUCCUAGUGAAGCGGUGAAAUGCGUAGAUAUUAGGAGGAACACCAGUGGCGAAGGCGGCUUGCUGGACGAUUACUGACGCGGAGGCUCGAAAGCGUGGGGAGCAAACAGGAUUAGAUACCCUAGUAGUC
rnacentral:rRNA from 1 species